CUUGAGCUCGGAUCCCUGGGGAUGUAGCAAGGGGAAGAUCUAGUCUUCUCAAAGCCCUUGCCCUCAGUCAAGAAUGUGCCCACCGCCACCCACAGCCACCCCACCAUCCCCACUCAGCCAUGGGGGCCCCGCACAUCCACUGGGUUCUCACAGGUGCUCUGCUGCUGCUCCCCGUGAAACUGGCUGGGAAGGAAGACCUCACAGACAGGCUGCUUCAGGGCCGCUCUCUGAACUUCAGACAAUAACCUCCUUUAGUAACAUACAUUAAAUGGUCUGCUGGUCAUGCCGCUAUGCCACUGGGGCCAUGGGAGGAGCCUCUGCCGACCAGACAGCUCGGAUGGAUUUACUUAAGGCCCCCAGAACACGAAGUGACAGCCACUGAGGAAGGAUGACCCUGAUGCUGUCCUCUUCCUCACCAGCUACAUCCUCCGUGAACCCCCUCUGCCUCCUGCCAUGGCUUCCGGACCUCAGCACAGGACAAUGGGCUGGGUAAUCUGGCUGUGGCCACACUGCCUGCUGACUCAGAGGUGGUCAGUUUCAUGGGUCUCAAACAGGGACCCUUGGGUGGGUACCUACCCGCCUGGCGCAUUCCAUAGAUAACUUCCUCUUCCCAAACCCAAACCUAGUCUAGUAUCCAUUUCACAAGGGAUAUAAUGGGCCCUCCCCCCUCCAAGCCCUCUCUGCUCCUGCUCCACCCCCUUCUCUUCCUGACUGUGAGUUACCUCCCAUCUUCUGCAGUCAGUGGGAGAGCAGUUAUAAACGAGCUGGUGUGGCAGGGCUUACUGC
rnacentral:lncRNA from 1 species